GACGAACGCUGGCGGCGUGCUUAACACAUGCAAGUCGAACGGUAAGGCCCUUCGGGGUACACGAGUAGCGAACGGGUGAGUAACACGUGGGUGAUCUACCCUGCACUUCGGGAUAAGCCUGGGAAACUGGGUCUAAUACCGGAUAGGACCACUGCCUGCAUGGGUGGUGGUGGAAAGCUUUUGCGGUGUGGGAUGGGCCCGCGGCCUAUCAGCUUGUUGGUGGGGUGAUGGCCUACCAAGGCGACGACGGGUAGCCGGCCUGAGAGGGUGACCGGCCACACUGGGACGGAGAUACGGCCCAGACUCCUACGGGAGGCAGCAGUGGGGAAUAUUGCACAAUGGGCGCAAGCCUGAUGCAGCGACGCCGCGUGAGGGAUGACGGCCUUCGGGUUGUAAACCUCUUUCAGCACCGACGAAGCGCAAGUGACGGUAGGUGCAGAAGAAGGACCGGCCAACUACGUGCCAGCAGCCGCCGUAA
rnacentral:rRNA from 1 species